AGACAAGCCAUCUAAAGUUAAUUGGGUAUGUUUUAAGAAUGCAGAUUUUUAUCUCCUCUCCUGCUUAAGACUCCACUAAAUUGACAGUAAAGGAACUACAACAGCAAAAAGAAAGUAGAAACCUAUAAAAGACAAAGAGAAUAAAGACAGAAGCAGACCGGAGGAUUCAAUGCGAUAUUGGAAGACAGGACCUGAUGGAGGAGAGAAGGACCUAGAGGGUAGAGGGACUGUUGUCCUCCCCUACAGUUUGGCAACUUGGACGGCAUAAAACUUAACUGGCUGGACACUGCUCACUCCUGAACCACUGCAGCUGAGAGAUCCUGGACCCCUGACAAAAGCCUGCAGGAGGUCUUGAGAGCUUGGUUUUGUGGCCUUUCUGGUCUCCACCAUCUGGAGGAUGCACCUACCGGCAUACAUCUUGGUGGCCAGUUGAGUAGCCUGGGGCUCCAGGACAAACUCUCUUUGUCCAGCUGUGUCAGCUUUCAGGGAAGUUUGUCAUAAGAGGUCCCAAUUGCUUUCAUAGGGACAUUUGUCGUUUCAACUUUCAUUGCUAGUUCAUUCCACCUGUGCAAUGAAGGCCUUUGCUUUCUUAGACUAUUUUUGGGAGUGAACUUUCUGGAUCUUGUGAGGGUUGCUCCUUUUGCACUCUCUUUUGGGGAUGCCUCUUGUGUCCAUGGUUAAGUUGGAAAAGGCUUAUUGGUUUGAGUUGCUAUCAAGAUCCU
rnacentral:lncRNA from 1 species